rnacentral:rRNA from 1 species
UACGAAGGGGGCUAGCGUUGCUCGGAAUCACUGGGCGUAAAGGGUGCGUAGGCGGGUCUUUAAGUCAGGGGUGAAAUCCUGGAGCUCAACUCCAGAACUGCCUUUGAUACUGAGGAUCUUGAGUUCGGGAGAGGUGAGUGGAACUGCGAGUGUAGAGGUGAAAUUCGUAGAUAUUCGCAAGAACACCAGUGGCGAAGGCGGCUCACUGGCCCGAUACUGACGCU